UGCCUCCCGACCUCGCUGUUGCUCGCUAGAUAGCAGGAAGAGCUGAACAGACAGCCUGCCUGGUCCUGAACCAUCAGAGUCAUCAGGAUGACAUUCUCCUGGAAGGUGAAACCAGCACAGGAACAGGCUAACAGCCUGGGCGGAUGUCAGUGCUAUAUAUGCCACCUGGCCUUCCUUCCCUGAUAGCUGCAGAGGGAGGUAGACCCCCCAGAUAAACCUCCCUGUGUGGAAUCAGCGCUCUCCAUGAGCUUCAUCCGAGGAAAGGGUCGUUACACCCAACUGCUGCGCAAGCACAAGGGAAGCAGACUUCGGCUUUGUGGCUAGACACAGCUAAGGCCAACCUGAUCUCGUGCUGGCAGCAGUGCUGUGUUGGGAGACCUCCAGAGAGUGUUCCAUCCACCGCUCGCAGGACGCCAGCUCUGGCAGAGCAUUACGUAAGGGAAGGAAAGGUGUUUAUUUUAUAUUUUGGCUCCCCUGGGAAAUGGAUGCAGAAGGGCAUGAAUAUUCUUGCUGCAGUUAGGCAGCACAGAUGACCUGCAGUAGAACAGAGUUAAGCCAAGUCCUUGUAGGUCCCAGACCCACUCUUUAAGUGGGAGCUCAGUCAAAUUUUUUAAGGAAAAAGAUCUUUUUCCCUGGAUUAAAAUUUAAUAAAAUAAUUUUCAUAUCUC